ACGAAAUAUAACCAUUUCUCAGGACGACUGCGUGCUGCAGCUGUGCUUUCCAUCUCCUGCGUGCGUACAAAACUGGAAUGCUGUAGGACUUCAGCUUAAGAAUGUCAUGCUGGACUACUACCAGAGCGUGCUUAAAGAAAUCAAUGCCUUGAUGAAGGUAUCACCGAAGUGCCCACCACCAGAUCUCUGCCUCAUAGCCAGUGAUGAUGGUCAAGGUUUUUCUAGCGGAUCUUGUCAUGUCAUGCUGAAAACUAAUCCACCCCGCACUUCGGUUACAACACUAUGAACCUAUCGCGCUGUGAUGCUUGCUUGAAAGGAAUACAAUCUGGUAUGCUGUGUCGUUUUUCUUUUAAAAGGACUUCAAGUAUCCAUAAUAAGAGGCCUUCGU